rnacentral:hammerhead_ribozyme from 1 species
AUCCGACCGACGAGUCCCAAAUAGGACGAAAUGUGCAUCCUCGAU